CCCCCCCCAUCUGUUGGUCUAAAAUGGCACCAACUGUUAUCUCCUUUAUCCAUUAGGAAGUGGUGUUCUCUUUUUUCCCACCUCAUUCCUGUAGAGAGACAAAAGGCUGAACCUCAGCGCUGUUCAUUUUCUGUUUUAUGGAUCUUUGUUUGUCUUUCAGAAAUGUUUUUUGUAUUAUUUUUUUCUUGCUUAGAAAGUGGGAACUUACACGUCACAAACCUAAAAUAUACUACUUAACUACUCCCUAAAUGGAGUUUUUUUUAUCUCAGGUUCCUCUGACAAAGCAUCCCAAAAGGCUCUUCAGAUAAGGCCUCGGAUUCAUGUUACAAAACAAGUAAAAUAUACUGAAAAGCAUGUCUGCUCUGGUGUCUGGUUCUUCAAGUAUUUGCAAUCACAACUGCUGACUUAAGAUAUGCAUUUCAUUUUUUUAAUUACAGGCUUUAAUGAAGAGGUUCCUCCAAAGUAGCAAUGGAUUAGUAGCCUUUAAUUUUUAACACUGCAGCAGAUUAUGUGUUUUCAACCUUGUAUGGUUGUCAUACAUUGGAGACAUUAAGAAAUGUCUCCAGCAGAGGGAGCCAGGUGUUUGGAUGGAUAUAGUAAAAUGACUGUUUUAUAUUAGAAACUAAAACAUUCUAGUAUAAUGUUUGCAUUGUAUUACACAGAGAUGUGUUUCUGUUAUAAGCCUCUCCUCAUUGAUAUAAAUAGGUUGAACAGAAUAAUAGAAACCCCUGUCAGUAUAAAACGAUACAAUUCAGCUACGUCCUCCAAAUUGAUCAAGUUGAAUCAACACCAAUUCAACCAAAUCUGAACAUUAUAACUUGCAUGAAGGUACUGUAGGAUUUACUGCAGGACUGUUACACUGCAAUAGCUUUAUCUAGGUGUACCUUAUAAACUGGCAACUGAGUGU